UACGUAGGUGGCAAGCGUUGUCCGGAAUUAUUGGGCGUAAAGCGCGCGCAGGCGGUCCUUUAAGUCUGAUGUGAAAGCCCACGGCUCAACCGUGGAGGGUCAUUGGAAACUGGGGGACUUGAGUACAGAAGAGGAAAGCGGAAUUCCACGUGUAGCGGUGAAAUGCGUAGAGAUGUGGAGGAACACCAGUGGCGAAGGCGGCCUUCUGGUCUGUAACUGACGCUGAGGCGCGAAAGCGUGGGGAGCAAACAGG
rnacentral:rRNA from 1 species